GGCCUGUUUAGCUCAGCUGGUUAGAGCGCCGUGCUAAUAACGCGGAGGUCAUGAGUUCGAUCCUCUUACGGGCCA
rnacentral:tRNA from 1 species